rnacentral:rRNA from 1 species
AGCGAACGCUGGCGGCGUGCUUAACACAUGCAAGUCGAGUGCGCGGUUCGUAGCAAUACGAACUGGCGCACGGCGCACGGGUGAGGAACACGUGGGCAACAUGCCCUCCGAUGGGGAAUAACCCGCCGAAAGGCGGGCUAAUACCGCAUACGAUUCCGGGGACCUCGGUUCCUGGACUGAAGGCCCGCAAGGGCGUCGGUGGAGUGGCCCGCGGCCGAUUAGCUUGUUGGCGGGGAACGCCCACCAAGGCAAUGAUCGGUAGCCGGUCUGAGAGGAUGAUCGGCCACACUGGAACUGAGACACGGUCCAGACUCCUACGGGA